rnacentral:rRNA from 1 species
UACGGAGGGGGCUAGCGUUGUUCGGAAUUACUGGGCGUAAAGCGCACGUAGGCGGCUAUUCAAGUCAGAGGUGAAAGCCCGGGGCUCAACCCCGGAACUGCCUUUGAAACUAGAUGGCUAGAAUCUUGGAGAGGCGAGUGGAAUUCCGAGUGUAGAGGUGAAAUUCGUAGAUAUUCGGAAGAACACCAGUGGCGAAGGCGGCUCACUGGCCCGGUACUGACGCUGAGGUGCGAAAGCGUGGGGAGCAAACAGG